AACGAACGCUGGCGGCAGGCUUAACACAUGCAAGUCGAGCGCCCCGCAAGGGGAGCGGCAGACGGGUGAGUACCGCGUGGGAACGUACCUUUUGGUUCGGAACAACUCCGGGAAACUGGAGCUAAUACCGGAUAAGCCCUAACGGGGAAAGAUUUAUCGCCGAAAGAUCGGCCCGCGUCUGAUUAGCUAGUUGGUGAGGUAACGGCGCACCAAGGCGACGAUCAGUAGCUGGUCUGAGAGGAUGAUCAGCCACACUGGGACUGAGACACGGCCCAGACUCCUACGGGAGGCAGCAGUGGGGAAUAUUGGACAAUGGGCGCAAGCCUGAUCCAGCCAUGCCGCGUGAGUGAUGAAGGCCUUAGGGUUGUAAAGCUCUUUUGUCCGGGAAGAUAAUGACUGUACCGGAAGAAUAAGCCCCGGCUAACUUCGUG
rnacentral:rRNA from 1 species